rfam:Solanum tuberosum cultivar DM 1-3 516 R44 scf00020_75, whole genome shotgun sequence.
CAGUAACUUUGAUAUUGGCCUGGUUCACUCAGACAACAAAAUGAAACUAUAUUUAAAUGGUGGAGUUUCUGUUUUCCGUUUGAUUGAGCCGUGCCAAUAUCUCAGUUUCUCUU